CCUCGAAGAGAGUGAAAAAUCAGGAAAGAGCUAGCCUUAUUCUUGGGAAGGCCCAGCCAGCAGCUGUGAGGGAUCCUCUAAAUAAGGCAGGGAACAGUGGGGUGUGUUAAGAGACCUCCCAAAAGGGGAGUGAGGAGACAGAGAAUCAGGAAAGUCUGAGAGGGAAUAAUAUUGUUGCUGGAAGGCUGCAUGUGUGGAGUUAGAAAGGAAGGAACCAUUUAGGAGGGGAGCAGUUUCUUUAUGUUUGCUGGUUGUUCUUUCACUUUAAGAAUAAAUUCAGCUGAGGAGGCUGAUUGUCCUGACCAGACUGAGAAGCAGAGCUUGGGUUCCCCACGGGUAUGGGCAUAGUCAGUUUUCCACUCUCUCCAAGGACAAAUUCCCUGGAGAACUAUAAUGCCUGAAGCCCUGGUGAAGUAACCAGGUGAGCUGCAGCAUCUGCAGCUACAACUCCAACUGCAGCCAUGGAGGAAGCAAGAGGAACAGCAGUGGUUUUAAGUCAUGACUGCAAGAGAUGGGGCAUAUAGGAAGAAGCGACACCAGUACAAAGGCCCUCCAGAUGGACUAUAGUUUUGCCCACCCAUCGCCACUGCUGCCACUGCCCUGGGUUAAGCCCAGCCCCUAAUGCAGCCCAACUGGAUCAGGACAGGAGGACUGGAGUGGACCAUCUCCCAGCCCCCUCAUUUUGUCCAGACCAUUGCCUUAAGAGUCCUCAACAGAACCUGUAAAGCCAGUUUCAGCCAAAGAACUUUUGCCCAGUUCUGUGGGUUAAAUAAUUGCUCGGUCUCUCGGUACAGCAGUAGCUGUGACCUCUGUGUACUAUUGCUCAGCUCUCCAAGCAGCUUUGCUGCCGGGGGUAUGCUCUGCCCUGGCUGAGCAUUCAGAGGUCUCAGGAUGUUUUCACUGCAGCUCUCGGAAACUUCCAUCGCGUGUACGUGGAACAGACACAGAGCUAACAGACCUGCUGACUCAUUACCUGCAGGACACUGGAUGUUGUUUCAUGCCAGUGCCUUAUGUGGUAAAAAGACUCUUUAAGCCUGCAUUUUGUAAAUCGAAGAGAAUAAGUGAAUGGUGUACCAGGAUUCAGCUUUUUUUUAGCUGGCAAAUGCAGAAGUAUUUGAGUCGAAAAUCUGGAAUUCUAUUAGGCUUAUAUGAACUAGCAAUCGUGGAGCUUGUUUGCUAACCAAUCCUGCUCAUGUUUCACAACAGAAGAAUGGAAGCCAAUUGCUAAUGUUUAGGGUUUCCACAGGAAAAUAAUCAAAUGUCAAUCACAGGUUGAAUAUAAGAGAGUAGCUGGCAGCAGGGAGGUUGCUCUUCCUACCAUAUGUCUUUUCUCUUGCAUUGGAUCCACUGUGGCAUUUGUGAAGUGUCAGUACUUGAUUCCUUCCAUUACCUGGUUUUAAUUAACCCCCUGACGUCCCUUUGUGUGGUGGGUGAUAUCAGCUGUGGCUCUGAAUAGAAGCCACCCCUGUCAAAAUUUUUUGGAACAAGCUUCUCCUGAAUGGGCCCAAUGAGCCAGGGGGCUGUUUCCUCUUUAAUCCCACAUUUAAUAGCACGAGCUGAAGACAAUAGGCAGCUCCUCCAGGCUCUUUAAGCUUGAUUCCAUUUGACAUGUCCAACCCUCUUUUGUCAGCCUCACAAGGAUAUUCCACCUCGGCGUACUUCACAUAAGAUUCACUUCACAAGUGUCAUUGAGAUGAAACAGUCAGAGUAUUGGAACCUGCAGUCCUAGGCCUCAGCCUCCAUGACCAGCACUGGCACUUCUCUCACAUGCCUUUGUAACUGUAUAUACCUUCCAUGAAUAAACCCGUUUUAUUUUCUAGAGCCAUUGUACAGUUCUCAUCAUGAAAGCCAAGCAACUGAAUACUGAUGUAUUUUUUUUUCCUUCUUAUAUUCCUAAAAAUAUAAGAACAUC